AUUCAACUGACGAGUCCGAAAUUGGAUGAAACGCGCGUCCUGUAU
rfam:Schistosoma mansoni, Puerto Rico, WGS project CABG01000000 data, contig: 0071